CACACAGCUCCCUAACACGUGGCUAACCUGCCCUUGGGACAAGAACACCCCCGGGAAACUGGGGUUAAUUCUCGAUAGGCGAAGAACUCUGGAAUGAGUCUUUACUUAAAAGAGGCUAGAGUUAUGCUCUUUAGUUUCGCCCAAGGAUGGGGCCGCGACCGAUCAGGUUGUUGGUGAGGUAAUGGCUCACCAAGCCAUUUACCGGUGCGGGCCGUGGGAGCGGGAGCCCGGAGAUGGGCACUGAGACAAGGGCCCAGGCCCUACGGGGCGCAGCAGUCGCGAAAACUUUGCAAUAAGCGAAAGCUUGACAGGGCUAUCCCGAGUGCCAUCCGCUGAGGAAGGCUUUUACCCAGUCUAGAACGCUGGGGGAAUAAGGAGAGGGCAAGUCUGGUGUCAGCCGCCGCGGUAAUACCAGCUCUCCGAGUGGUGUGGAUGUUUAUUGGGCCUAAAGCAUCCGUAGCUGGCUAGGUUAGUCCCCUGUUAAAUCCACCGAAUUAAUCGUUGGAUUGCGGGGGAUACUGCUUGGCUAGGGGACGAGAGAGGCAGACGGUAUUUCCGGGGUAGGGGUGAAAUCCUAUAAUCCCGGGAAGACCACCAGUGGCGAAGGCUGUCUGCUAGAACGCGCCCGACGGUGAGGGAUGAAAGCUGGGGGAGCGAACC
rnacentral:rRNA from 1 species